rnacentral:lncRNA from 1 species
UUGCUUGGCCUUUUCAUUUCCGGCGCAAUAGGCAAGUACUCUACUUGUCUGCAUGGCUCUUCUGUGUGGCACAUCCAUAAAAUGCAAAACAAUCCAUUUGCAGAAUGAAAGAUCGUCAUCAUCCUCGUACUCUUCUCUUAUCCUCGGCCCUAUUUAUUGAAAUCUUAUUCCGCCUAUAUAAUAUAUCUAUAGAUAUUGAUAUUUGAAUAUAGAUAUUAUUGCUAUUAUCUGUGUCACAUUAUUACCUGGUAAAAGCUUUUGACUCUUAUUCUAUUCCUUCGUGCCCCGAAAAGCUUUUGACUCUUAUUCCUUCGCGCCCCUCUGAUGGAAAGGCAAUAUUCUGAUAUACUAUUUUCUCACUUUCUCAGGAUUAUCUCUUCAAAUCAAAGAAUCCACCUACACGAAGCAAUUCCUUUUCUUUUUUCAUCCUCCCUCUCUUGGACUACCACUGAUUCUCUCUCAAUAUGCAUUGAAUGAAGUUCCUGAAUGGGUCUAUUUCUCCCUAGCCCACGUUUCAUCGUUGUGAAGCGAGAACCACUCUUUUCGCUGAGUCCUAGACCAGCCACAGAAAAUCCGUUCUUUUUUGCAAUAAAUAAGAAAGUGGUUUCAGAAGAAAGGAGCCACACUGGAUAACUCGUCUCUCGGGCCUUUUUAGUCGCGGGAUAAAUAGUAUUCAUUCCAUUCUCUUUUAUUGGACUGAAACAAUCCAAAUCCGCCCAGAAAGAUACAAAAGAAGGAAGGGUAUGCUGGGAUUCGCGAAAAGCAGCAAGCCCACCAAAGAAUUCCACCUCGACUCCUACCCAUCGCCCAACCUAUAUAGCAUCCUAAUGAUAGUGAUGCAACUAUAUAGCAUAGCAUCCUAGAUGAUAGUGAUGAUUCUAUAUAGCAUAGCAUCCUAAUGAUAGUGAUUAUUCUUUUUCAAGUGGGAUCGGAACCAAGAGAAAUCAAGGGAUAGCCAAGCAUUAAGGUAAAGGAAGCAAUCAACCCGGUCCCGACGCCUCCCCUAAGUCUUUCGGAUCAGGGUCAACAUUCAAUGUUUCAAAUCGGAUUGACCCUCGAGGGUAAACGGUCUAAACUCUCUCAUAAGCAUGAAUCAAAAGAAAGUGAACAAUUUCGAAUAGAACAAAGGGUAGAACAAGAAUCAAGGUUGCGAAGCAAUCCGUCCUAUUUUCUCUAUUCCCUUUUCCUUCUGGAAGAGUUUACAUUCGAGUAGGAGUGAUCAAAGUACCUAAUUCGUUUUUCUUAGGAUUGUACUCCUCCCAGUCAGUAAGAUCUGAUACAGAGCGGAGAAAGAGGUCAAAGGCAGUUAGCCAAGAGACUUCUUUUCUCAAUCCGAACGCAAAUGGAAACCUCCUAUUUGAUAGAAUCCCGAUAUUCCUCAAUCAGAUGUCCCAUAGAGAAAGGGUCCAAGUUCAAGGAGAGCGGGGAAUGAGCCUAAGACUUACCUUCUACUCCAUAAGAUAGACUUAUUCUGUAUGAAAGAAAGAAUAGGAUCUUCUCUUUUUUAGGGCAAGAAAGAAUCAAAAAGCAACAUGAAUUAAGCGCUUACGCGAGCUACUUAAGUGAGUUCUGACAGUUUCGCUUACAGAGUGCCCUUCUUUACUGUUUACAGGAAUCGAAUCUGCCAGGGAAUGCGCUCUUAGGAAUCCCCUAAUAUCCUCGUUCUAGUAAGUAGUGGGCAAAUCUUUGGAUUUGAAAGACUCCGCUGUGGCACUUUUCACCUUUCUUUCCUUGGGCAUCCAAAAGUUAGCUAGAGAAGAAAGCCGCUCCAGUUUCAUCACAAUAGUUAGAGAUAUCCAAUGCAAACACGCACAGAAGAAUAUGCUUCGAAUGCCCUGUUUUAAGGGGUUUAGAAAGAAGGAGCUACGGGACGGACUUUCAGAGAACUAUGCUAGCACUCUUAUAGAAUAGGUAAGAAUCCACUUUCCCUUAUCAGUGGAAUGAAAUGUUGCUAUAGGAUAUUAGUACUUGAAUCCUUAUAUAGUGAGAGCGAGCCUAGUAACAAGGGAUUCCAUUUCCGUUUCAAAUACAGUUGAGAGCCAUUAUGAUUCAAUUAUGCGAGCGAGCUUUCUACUUAGAGUUAGAGCAUUAGAGUUUACAUUUGCACUUUUCGUUCUAAUAUGGAGGCGAGCAUUCAUAAACGAGUCAAAAGUCAGUGUAGAGGUGGGCCAUUUACUCGUAUUAGAAAGAUAGGGGGGAAACAUCUCACUUCCUGAAUUCAUACCAAUAUAGAUAUAUGUAUUUCAAUAAUAAGACAGAACCCCCGUGAUAGGGGAUUGAAUGAUCAGUCUCUAAGUACCCGAAGCUGUGCUUGUAAAUGUUGUUUCUGUUCGAGGUAAAGUUUCCAGUGUAGUUCUUUCUUGUUUACAUUGAAGAAUGAAUGAUUUGUUGACGAAAGAAAAAUCCAAGAAUCUAGCAUGACACAUAUAGAAGUAAAAGUAGAGAAACAACCUACUGACUCUAUCAAAGUUUAUAAACAACCUACUGACUCUAUUCUAAUACUCCAAACGAAAAGUGACCUAACACUUGUUGAAGAGAGGCACCCCGACCCGACCUUGCUAAACUCAAUAAAUCGAUUACAGCUGGCUCACCGGAUCCCGCUCCAACAAUAAGUGUUAGCGCAAGGGCUUUAAGGUUUCGUCAAGGGUCGAAAAGAAAGUUCAGAUUCCACGGUGAAAAAGCAUUUCAACAAACAGCCGAUAGAGUCCCUAAAUUACCGAUUAGCUAUAUGAGUCCACCCAUGUUAAACGAGAAUAAUUGCCCUGCCCUUCUUUAUCGACAGCUUCACCUUGUAGAAAAGAUAGGUUAUUGGCUUUACGUCUACGAGAGAGGUAGGUUGGUUCUUUUACUAAGAUCUCUGGGAGUGAGUUCUGCUCGCUUACGUGAGUUUGAGUCUUGCUAAGGAUAAAUAUCCGGAUAAGUGCCAAAGUUUGCAGCAAGGAAGGUUUAGGUUUUCAAAAGAGAAGCUCAUAGAGUGGAGUUACGAAAGCAGUAACAAACUAUAGCAUUCAAGUAAGGAACAGGAUAGGAUCAGUUCCAAAGUGAGCUGCCCGCUUCAAAUCUACUUGUUCUAUUGCAGCAAUCGGGUCUUCAAGUUCCGGAGAGGUUGCAUUAUCAUCAAUAGCAAUAUGGGGAAGUCGAGUGAGAGGAAGAAUCCCAUAGAAAGGAGGCGCUCACUAACGUCCUCCGCUCCAACUCCAAUGAGUGCAGCUCCUCACGCGCAAGUAAAACAUAAAGAUGCUAAUGCUAGAAGGUAUAGAAUGGAUUUGUAAUAUUCCCACACCUUAGAUACUCGGCGCAAGAGAAAAGUCUAGGUCCAGGUCCAGGCCUCACAAGAGAAAGAUCGGAAGCCGGGUGCUCGCUCCUUUGUAUUAGAAUUCCUCAUUUGAUUCUCUACAAGAGAAGAAGAAAAGCUGGAUAAGGAGAAUGAACAGGAUCAGUGCAAACCAAAGUAAGCUGCUUGUCCCGAUGUCGCUCAAACUAGAAAGUGGUAGUGUUCCAGAAGAGAAGCAGGAGAACAAUAAGCACGUGUUUCAGUCUACAGUUCCAUUCUUCUAAAUUCAGAGCACGAAGUGUUCCCAAAUUCUAUCAUACGGAGCUCAUUCUGAUGCUUCUUAUGGAGCGAAACUUUCUACCUAACAUCUUUCUUAUUCUCUUGCAACAGGAUAUCUCACUCUUUCUUUUCCGGAUUCUAAUCAAGCUUAUGAGUAAUCUGCUUCCCCUUCUUCUCCUUGAUAGUGGGUUUAAGCCGAGGUGUAACUCGCUCACGCUGAAGACAGAAACGUUGCUUAUUUACUUGUUGAAUCUGCACAUCUCACGUCUCAGAACCAUGUCUGUUCUCGCAGGGGAACCAUCAAGGUAAAGAAAAGGAACUGGCCGAGUCGAUUCCGCUGAUGAACCCUCUUCUUAUCUUGUGGACUGGAAUUUCAUUGCUACUUACUUAGCCCCUUUGUGAACUGCUGACAAGCGAUACUUUAGCAUUUGAUUCGAUAGGAGAUUCGGCUGGCUUCUUCUUAUUCUUAUUACUUAAUGUAAUGGUAGGAUCAAAGAUAGUAGGAUCAAAGUAAAGCACAACUGAGUCAAGAGCUGCUUCACCGACCUAAACUGGAAUUGAAGCUGAUUCUCCAGCGGAUGCUUUAGCUGAUGAUUGACUUUAUACAGUUAAAGCUUUCUUCCCCAGCUGAGAAUCUGGAUCUGGAAACUAGAACAUCACUUUCAUUGGCAGACCCGACAACACAAUAGGCACCCGGAAACCGAUACUGUUUGAUUGAUUGAUUUCUUUCCCGCUUAUAGAGAGCUUCUUGAUACGACUCCAUCUAUCUCGCAUUAACCGAUAAGUAAGGUAGUCCAAAGAAUGAAUAGAAUCUCCCUUGCUCCUGUUAGCGAGCUCACACUGUUUUAUUAAUAAGAUAUGCAUUUAAGGAGCUGUCAGUGAAGAUAUGCAUUUAAGGAGCUGUCAGUGGACAAGAUAGGUCAUUUGCCAUAAGAAUCAUUGAACAUAGCCUAAACGACCUGAAUUCCCUAGUUUUAUUGCCUUCACCGAGAUUAUGUCCUUCUUUCAGCGCCCAGCCCUGUGAACUUACUUGGCUUAAAGGACUCGACUCUAACUCCCCCUACGCGCAACUCAAUCGAACAUCAAUUUCUUCACUAGAUGGUCAUAUCAAAAGUGUGAAUUG